AUUGAACGCUGGCGGCAUGCCUUACACAUGCAAGUCGAACGGUAACAGAUCUUCGGAUGCUGACGAGUGGCGAACGGGUGAGUAAUACAUCGGAACGCGCCUAGUAGUGGGGGAUAACUACUCGAAAGAGUGGCUAAUACCGCAUGAGAUCUACGGAUGAAAGCAGGGGAGCGCAAGACCUUGUGCUACUAGAGCGGCCGAUGGCAGAUUAGGUAGUUGGUGGGAUAAAAGCUUACAAAGCCGACGAUCUGUAGCUGGUCUGAGAGGACGAUCAGCCACACUGGGACUGAGACACGGCCCAGACUCCUACGGGAGGCAGCAGUGGGGAAUUUUGGACAAUGGGCGCAAGCCUGAUCCAGCAAUGCCGUGUGCAGGAUGAAGGCCUUCGGGUUGUAAACUGCUUUUGUACGGAACGAAAAGCCCUGGGUUAAUACCCUGGGGUCAUGACGGUACCGUAAGAAUAAGCACCGGCUAACUACGUGCCAGCCGCCGCAGUAAUAC
rnacentral:rRNA from 1 species